rnacentral:rRNA from 1 species
AUGUGUCAGUUCCAUUUAACCAAUACUCUCUCGAGCAUUAUGAAAAUCCUGCUUCAUAUUAUAUCUAAUUCGAUGGGUCUACUUUGUGUGUCUUGGGGAGCCAUAUCUAAAUUCCAUGCUCUCAGAGAAGACAGAGCAGUGUUAGGAAACUUCUGUGGUAGAACACCUCUCUUGUUUGCAACAUACCACAAUGGGGGUACUGCCGAAUAUCUUCUUGAUCAUGGCGCUAAUCAAGACAAAGCUGAUCACGAUGGGUCUUCCCUGUUACAUUAUGCCGCUGAAUUAGGCAAUUGUGAAAUGGUAGAGCUUUUGCUUGCAAAAGGAGCUUAUGUUGACCCGGUAUCUGCUUAUGGAACACCACUUCAUGUUGCUGCUGGUAAAGGGCAUUAUGGUGCUAUGAAGAUUUUACUGGACCACAAUGCAGAUUACAACAAGAUGGUAAAUGGCGUGACACCUCUUAUUGUUGCUACAGAUGCCAAGUCAAUGAAAUGUAUCAAGCUCCUAGUUAAGGCUGGUGCCAAUCUCAAGGAAGCUGCAGCAUAUACAACUCUCCACGCGGAAAAAGUGGUUUCAGAUUACUUUCUCAAUUGCAUAAUGGAGGACGUUGAUGCCAACCGUGAUGUUCCUUUUUAUCAGGGGCCUAUGCUUAAACGGGAAAUCGUGACAUCAGGGCUUAUAUCACGAGGGAGCAACUCUUUAAAGAACAAGGAUUAUGUUGUCGCAGCAAAAUUGUACAGUAAGGCAAUGGUGCUUGAUCCUGAUGAUGCAGUCUUGUUCUCAGACAGGAGCCUUUGUUGGCUUCAACUGGGUGAUGGAAAAAAGGCUUUGCUAGAUGCUAAUAGAUGCAGAAAAAUGCGGCCUCACUGGCCAAAAGCUUGUCACCGGCAGGGUGAAGCUCGGAUGCUACUGAAGGACUACGAGGGCGCAAGUGAACAGUUCUUGGAUGGACUCAAGCUGGACCCAGUGGACACUGAUAUCGAGGCUGCAUUACGGGAAGCUAUGAAGUCCCUGAAGACGUCUCGGAGCAUGAAAGCCAAUUGA